UUUUUGGGCGACUUUUAAAGCAAUUUUUCGGCAACUUUCGACCAUCAAAACUAUCUAAUUUUGAUACCAUUGGAAAGCCCACAAUGUCCUCUUCAAUUACCACCCAAAAUUUCCCGAUAACUCCAAAGGAUUUGGUCGGAAUAAACCCACAAAGUCAGCAUCCCGAACUUUGUCCAGAUUUUCGCCUUUUCAAGAUGCUGAUUUUGUGGGUUUAUUCCGACCGAAUCCUUUGGAGUUAUGGGAAAAUUUUGGAUGAUAAUUGAAGAGGACAUUGUGGGCUUUCCAAUGAUAUCAAAAUUCGAUAGUUUUGAUGGUCGAAAGUUGCCGAAAAAUUGCCUUAAAAGUCGCCCAAAAAAUCUGAAAAUCUGGGCAGAUUUUCAGAAUUUUUGGGCUACUUUUAAGGUAAUUUUUCGAUCGAAUCCCUUGGAGUUAUAAUGAGAUUUUGGGUGAUAAUUGAAGAGGACAUCGUGAGCUUUCCAAAGGUAUCAAAAUUCGACAUUCUUUGUGGUCGGAAGUUGUCGAAAAUUUGCCGUAAAAGUAGCCCAAUUAUUUGAAGAGACGAGUGAUGAAUGAGUAAUUAUAUGAAAAGAUGAGUGAGCAUUCAGUAAUAUGUAAAAGAUGAGUG
rnacentral:lncRNA from 1 species